rnacentral:rRNA from 1 species
CCUACGGGUGGCAGCAGUGGGGAAUAUUGCGCAAUGGGCGAAAGCCUGACGCAGCGACGCCGCGUGAGGGCUGAAGGUCUUCGGAUCGUAAACCUCUGUCAGCAGGGAAGAACGGUCACUGUGCUAAUCAGCAGUGAAUUGACGGUACCUGCAAAGGAAGCACCGGCUAACUCCGUGCCAGCAGCCGCGGUAAUACGGAGGGUGCAAGCGUUAAUCGGAAUUACUGGGCGUAAAGCGCUCGUAGGCGGUAUGUCAAGUCAAUGGUGAAAUCCCCGCGCUCAACGUGGGAACUGCCUGUGAAACUGGCAGACUGGAGUGUGGGAGAGGAGAGUGGAAUUCCAGGUGUAGGAGUGAAAUGCGUAGAUAUCUGGAGGAACAUCAGUGGCGAAGGCGACUAUCUGGCACAAAACUGACGCUGAGGAGCGAAAGCGUGGGUAGCAAACAGGAUUAGAUACCCCAGUAGUC